rnacentral:rRNA from 1 species
GCGGUGGAGCAUGUGGUUAAUUCGAAGCAACGCGAAGAGCCUUACCAGGUCUUGACAUCCCCUGACAACCGAGAGAUCGGGCGUUCCCCUUCGGGGGACAGGGUGACAGGUGGUGCAUGGUUGUCGUCAGCUCGUGUCGUGAGAUGUUGGGUUAAGUCCCGCAACGAGCGCAACCCUCGACCUUAGCUGCCAGCAUUCAGUUGGGCACUCUAAGGUGACUGCCGGCUAAAAGUCGGAGGAAGGUGGGGAUGACGUCAAAUCAUCAUGCCCCUUAUGACCUGGGCUACACACGUGCUACAAUGGGCGGUACAAAGGGUCGCGAACCCGCGAGGGGGAGCCAAUCCCAAAAAGCCGCUCUCAGUUCGGAUUGGGGUCUGCAACUCGACCCCAUGAAGUCGGAGUCGCUAGUAAUCGCAGAUCAGCAACGCUGCGGUGAAUACGUUCCCGGGCCUU